rnacentral:rRNA from 1 species
GACGAACGCUGGCGGCGUGCUUAACACAUGCAAGUCGAACGGAAAGGCCCUGCUUUUGUGGGGUGCUCGAGUGGCGAACGGGUGAGUAACACGUGAGUAACCUGCCCUUGACUUUGGGGUAACUUCAGGAAACUGGGGCUAAUACCGGAUAGGAGCUCCUGCUGCAUGGUGGGGGUUGGAAAGUUUCGGCGGUUGGGGAUGGACUCGCGGCUUAUCAGCUUGUUGGUGGGGUAGUGGCUUACCAAGGCUUUGACGGGUAGCCGGCCUGGGAGGGUGACCGGGCACAUGGGGACUGAGAUACGGACCAGACUCCUACGGGAGGCAGCAGUGGGGAACAUGGCAGAAUGGGCGGAAGCCUGAGGCAGCAACGCCGCGUGCGGGAUGACGGCCUUCGGGGUGUAAACCGCUUUCGCCUGUGACGAAGCGUGAGUGACGGUAAUGGGUAAAGAAGCACCGGCUAACUACGUG